GAACCCACUGUUUGUCAGUCGCUUUGGAUAAAAGCGUCAGCUAAAUGACAUGUA
rfam:Gasterosteus aculeatus cont1.003858, whole genome shotgun sequence.